AGGGCAGUGGCUAGAGAUCAGUGGGGUGCUACAGGGGCUGGGGGUGGCUAUAGGCCAGUGGGGUGCUAUAAGGGCAAUGGCUAGAGGUCAAUGGGGUGCUAUAGGGGCUGAGGGGGUGGCUAGAGGUCAGUGGGGUGCUAUAAGGGCAGUGGCUAGAGAUCAGUGGGGUGCUACAGGGGCUGGGGGUGGCUAUAGGCCAGUGGGGUGCUAUAAGGGCAAUGGCUAGAGGUCAGUGGGGUCCUAUAGGGGUUGGGGGGUGGCUAUAGGCCAGUGGGGUGCAAUAAGGGCGAUGGCUGGAGGUCAGUGGGGUGCUACAGGGGCUGGGGGGUGGCUCCGGAGAGUCGGGGCGCUACAGAGGUUGGGGGGGCGGCGGUGGGUGGGGUCACUGGAGCUGUAGGGACCGGGGGAGGAGCCCAUAGGGCGCUGGGAGGGGGGGGGGGGGACAGGACCCGGAACUAGAGACUCCCCACGCCCCGGCCCCCGCGGCCCCGCCUCUUUGCAAACCCUGCGCGGAGCGGCGACCCGGGCCCGGCCACAAACACACGGCGGAG